rnacentral:rRNA from 1 species
CCUGGUGGUUAUAGCGAGGAAUUUACACCCGAUCCCAUCCCGAACUCGACCGUGAAAGUCCUCAGCGCCGAUGGUACUACACCCCUGACGUGUGGGAGGUAGGUCGCUGCCAGGU